GUAACGAAAUACUGAUUCGUUGGAAUCCUAACAUGCCAAAUCUAUCCCUAAACUCUGCAUCCUGAGCUGCUUCUAACUGCUGUGAUGAAACAGCUUUCACAAGAAAAACAGUGCUGGCCAACAAGAGACAGAAUUUCAGUAAUACCCUUGUGAACUUUGACCUUUGUUUCGGUCCUCUGCUCGGCCCUCCACAAAGCUUUCUUGUGUGUCACGCUUUCAGCACCUGACUGGAGUAACGACCAGGGGUCACUAUUAGGGCAGAGGCCUGGACUUUAGUGAUAUGUUGCCCACACUGAACGCUGCCACGAAACCCCACAAACUGCUCGCUGUGUUUGCAGAAGACUACACUGCCAAAGUAUUAGAUCAUUCACUUCAGUUCCCCUUGUUUUUGUUUUUGGUCUGUUCCCCCGGGGGCAGCUCCGUCCUAAGCGGCGUGUAUUGAUAUAGAGCAAGUUCACUCCAGUUCAGUCCUCUCAGGCCAUCUGGGGUUUGCUCAGGACAUUAUAUGACAUGUGUCUGUGUCCGAGUAAAUAUACAUUCGCCUCCCCGGCAGGGUUCAUUGAGCUGACUGCAUCCUCUGCCAAGAAUAACAGGGAGGAUGUGCUCUCUGCCCAUGCUGGUAAUGACAGCCUCGUUUUCUAGCCAUAACACACACUCAUUGGUCUGAGAGAAAAAGAUUUCCUUUGUAGUUAGUUGAAGCCGAAAUUUGUUAGCCAUCCAUGCUCAGCUGUUUAUAUAUGUGGGGGUGACUCGAGACUUUUACACAUACACGGAUAAAGACCAGAGAGAGAGUGUGUGUGUGUGUGUGUGUGUAGUGGGUAGCUGGGUGGCUGAGUGGCUGAGUGGCUACUAUCGCGUUUCCCAGGAAAUUAGUGAGUCAUUCACUUUAGGUACCUUUUUAAAAGCGUCAUGGGAUUUCCAUAGCAUCAUGAUGUUUGCGAGCCUCAAUAUUCAGGGACUGGGUAGCGUCUUAUCUCCAGUGCGAAACAUCUAACAUAUCUUGGCUAACUGACUACAUUUGAGAGGCCCCUGGCAGUGUUUCUGGUGUUGUUAGCACAGAUCCUUGCACUUUUUUCUGGGGAUUGAACCCUGGCAAUCAAGUGUAGCAGAUGCUGAUCAGUGGAAAAGGGGAGUCUGUCUUUAAGCGGAUGUUCGGAUUUGAUUUAGCCCAAACAUUCUGGUCAGCAGUGUUUUUUUGUGUGAGUCAACAUGUUAUGUUUACCUUAU